rnacentral:rRNA from 1 species
AGUGAACGCUGGCGGUAGGCCUAACACAUGCAAGUCGAACGGCAGCACAGUAAGAGCUUGCUCUUACGGGUGGCGAGUGGCGGACGGGUGCGGAAUACAUCGGAAUCUACUUUUUCGUGGGGGCUAACGUAGGGGAACUUACGCUAAUACCGCAUACGACCUACGUGUGAAAGCAGGGGAUCUUCGGACCUUGCGCGAUCGAAAGACCCGAUGUCGGAUUAGCUAGUUGGCGGGGUAAAGGCCCACCAAGGCGACGAUCCGUAGCUGGUCUGAGAGGAUGAUCAGCCACACUGGAACUGAGACACGGUCCAGACUCCUACGGGAGGCAGCAGUGGGGAAUAUUGGACAAUGGGCGCAAGCCUGAUCCAGCCAUACCGCGUGGGUGAAGAAGGCCUUCGGGUUGUAAAGCCCUUUUGUUGGGAAAGAAAAGCAGCAGGUUAAUACCCCGCUGUUCUGACGGUACCCAAAGAAUAAGCACCGGCUAACUUCGUG